rnacentral:rRNA from 1 species
UACGUAGGCAGCAAGCGUUGUUCGGAAUUACUGGGCGUAAAGAGUGCGUAGGCGGUGCUCUAAGUUUGGUGUGAAAUCUCCCGGCUCAACUGGGAGGGUGCGCCGAAAACUGGAGUGCUUGAGUGUGGGAGAGGAAAGCGGAAUUCCUGGUGUAGCGGUGAAAUGCGUAGAUAUCAGGAGGAACACCUGCGGUGUAGACGGCUUUCUGGACCACGACUGACGCUGAGGCACGAAAGCGUGGGGAGCAAACAGG